GGCGGCAGGCCUAACACAUGCAAGUCGAGCGGUAGCACAGAGAGCUUGCUCUCGGGUGACGAGCGGCGGACGGGUGAGUAAUGUCUGGGAAACUGCCUGAUGGAGGGGGAUAACUACUGGAAACGGUAGCUAAUACCGCAUAACGUCGCAAGACCAAAGUGGGGGACCUUCGGGCCUCAUGCCAUCAGAUGUGCCCAGAUGGGAUUAGCUAGUAGGUGGGGUAACGGCUCACCUAGGCGACGAUCCCUAGCUGGUCUGAGAGGAUGACCAGCCACACUGGAACUGAGACACGGUCCAGACUCCUACGGGAGGCAGCAGUGGGGAAUAUUGCACAAUGGGCGCAAGCCUGAUGCAGCCAUGCCGCGUGUAUGAAGAAGGCCUUCGGGUUGUAAAGUACUUUCAGCGGGGAGGAAGGCGAUAAGGUUAAUAACCUUGUCGAUUGACGUUACCCGCAGAAGAAGCACCGGCUAACUCCGUGCCAGCAGCCGCGGUAAUACGGAGGGUGCAAGCGUUAAUCGGAAUUACUGGGCGUAAAGCGCACGCAGGCGGUCUGUCAAGUCGGAUGUGAAAUCCCCGGGCUCAACCUGGGAACUGCAUUCGAAACUGGCAGGCUAGAGUCUUGUAGAGGGGGGUAGAAUUCCAGGUGUAGCGGUGAAAUGCGUAGAGAUCUGGAGGAAUACCGGUGGCGAAGGCGGCCCCCUGGACAAAGACUGACGCUCAGGUGCGAAAGCGUGGGGAGCAAACAGGAUUAGAUACCCUGGUAGUCCACGCCGUAAACGAUGUCGAUUUGGAGGUUGUGCCCUUGAGGCGUGGCUUCCGGAGCUAACGCGUUAAAUCGACCGCCUGGGGAGUACGGCCGCAAGGUUAAAACUCAAAUGAAUUGACGGGGGCCCGCACAAGCGGUGGAGCAUGUGGUUUAAUUCGAUGCAACGCGAAGAACCUUACCUGGUCUUGACAUCCACAGAACUUAGCAGAGAUGCUUUGGUGCCUUCGGGAACUGUGAGACAGGUGCUGCAUGGCUGUCGUCAGCUCGUGUUGUGAAAUGUUGGGUUAAGUCCCGCAACGAGCGCAACCCUUAUCCUUUGUUGCCAGCGGUUCGGCCGGGAACUCAAAGGAGACUGCCAGUGAUAAACUGGAGGAAGGUGGGGAUGACGUCAAGUCAUCAUGGCCCUUACGACCAGGGCUACACACGUGCUACAAUGGCAUAUACAAAGAGAAGCGACCUCGCGAGAGCAAGCGGACCUCAUAAAGUAUGUCGUAGUCCGGAUUGGAGUCUGCAACUCGACUCCAUGAAGUCGGAAUCGCUAGUAAUCGUAGAUCAGAAUGCUACGGUGAAUACGUUCCCGGGCCUUGUACACACCGCCCGUCACACCAUGGGAGUGGGUUGCAAAAGAAGUAGGUAGCUUAACCUUCGGGAGGGCGCUUACCACUUUGUGAUUCAUGACUGGGGUGA
rnacentral:rRNA from 1 species